rnacentral:misc_RNA from 1 species
AAUACUUUGGGGACACAGUCGAACUUCCAACGGAGUUAAAAGUAGGAAAAGUGGGGGUCCAUAUAAAACUCAGACGCAUCUAGGGCAUUCUACAGUCGGCUCUCUAUAUAGCAAACCAAGUUCAUCAAUCACAAAUGGCGUUACAUUUGUCAAGUUGCCGCUCGUCAAAUUCGAAUGCUCAUUGGGAGGAGUUGCAGAUGUGGCCGCCGGAACUGUGGAGCUGGAACCGGUGGUGAUGCUGGCUGCAGUGGUGGUCGCCGGCGGAGCACCCAUUGUAUGGUAGCCACGAUGAUAGCUGGAACGGGUAUUGUGCCCCAGGGCACCUAGAAAUCCGGGCGCCGUUAUGGAGCCGGCAAUAACCUGGCAUUUUGGCAAUUUUCAAGAACAUUUAACGGGCGAUUUAUGCG